GCCUGCGUGAUUGGCGCCCUUAAACUGCGUGCUGAUAUUUUUUUUUCUUUCUGCACACUCAGGUCGACGUCACAGAAUCGAAACUGAAAGUAAACCUCUCCAAGCUGUAACUCGCCUCCAUUUUGUGUUGUGGAACUCGGCACUUACUGCUUCAAGCAUCGCGAACCCACCGGGGCUGUCGUUUCAAGUUGUAACCCAUUAAAACACGCUUCAAGCGAGGAGCAGCUGAAGAUGGAGGUUCCCCUAGAGGGGGAUGUGCAGGGCAGCCCUGGAGAGGGAUCCAGUUCAGAAGAAGACAGUGGACAUGGACAUGUGGGUUUCCCUCCUGGUGUAUUGGGUAUGGAGAUACAACAGGCCCACAAAACUCACCUGUUGGAGAGGUCCAAGUGUCUGAUGGAAGGACUCCCAUAUCAGGGAAGCUCCACACUGCUAAGGAAGAUCUACACAGACCUCUACAUCACGGCAGGGGGAGGAUGGGGGGUCAAUGAAGAACAUGAGGUCAGACAGAUAGAGAGGGCAUCCUGGAGAGAAGCAGCACAAGGCAGGCCAAUCAAAUGCAGUGACAUCAUCAAACACUUAUCUGAAAAAGUCAGUCAGCUAUCU